rnacentral:tRNA from 1 species
AUGUUUUUAGUAUAUAAAGUACACUUACCUUCCAAGUAAAAAGAUUAUUAUUAAAAAACAUA